AGAGUUUGAUCCUGGCUCAGAAUCAACGCUGGCGGCGUGCCUAACACAUGCAAGUCGAGCGAGAAAGGGGCUUCGGUCCUGAGUAAAGCAGCGCACGGGUGAGUAACACGUGGGUAAUCUGCCCUCGAGUGGGGAAUAACACCGGGAAACCGGUGCUAAUACCGCAUACGAUCACGAUGUCUUCGGAUGUUGUGAUGAAAGGAGCAAUUCGCUCUUGGAGGAGCCCGCGGCUGAUUAGCUAGUUGGUGAGGUAAUGGCUCACCAAGGCUUCGAUCAGUAGCCGGUCUGAGAGGACGGUCGGCCACACUGGAACUGAGACACGGUCCAGACUCCUACGGGAGGCAGCAGUGGGGAAUUUUUCGCAAUGGGGGCAACCCUGACGAAGCAACGCCGCGUGGGCGAUGAAGUAUCUCGGUACGUAAAACCCUUUCGACGGGGAAGAAACCGCAAGGUUGACGGUACCCGUAGAAGAAGCCCCGGCUAACUCCGUGCCAGCAGCCGCGGUAAUACGGGGGGGGCAAGCGUUGUUCGGAAUUACUGGGCGUAAAGGGCGCGUAGGCGGUUUGUUAAGUUGAAUGUGAAAACUCUGGGCUUAACCCAGAGCCUGCAUUCAAUACUGGCAGGCUAGAGUUCUGGAGGGGAUAGCGGAAUUCCUGGUGUAGCGGUGAAAUGCGUAGAUAUCAGGAGGAACACCGGUGGCGAAGGCGGCUAUCUGGACAGAGUCUGACGCUGAGGCGCGAAAGCUAGGGGAGCAAACAGGAUUAGAUACCCUGGUAGUCCUAGCCCUAAACGAUGGAUACUUGCUGUAACUGGGAUUGAAUCCAGUCGUGGCGAAGCUAACGCAUUAAGUAUCCCGCCUGGGGAGUACGGUCGCAAGGCUGUAACUCAAAGGAAUUGACGGGGGCCCGCACAAGCGGUGGAGUAUGUGGUUUAAUUCGACGCAACGCGAAGAACCUUACCUGGGCUCGAACGGCUAGUGACAGGGGUGGAAACAUCCUUUUCCCGCAAGGGACACUAGUCGAGGUGCUGCAUGGCUGUCGUCAGCUCGUGUCGUGAGAUGUUGGGUUAAGUCCCGCAACGAGCGCAACCCCUGCCUUUAGUUGCCAACAGGUCAAGCUGGGCACUCUAAAGGGACUGCCGGUGAAAAACCGGAGGAAGGUGGGGAUGACGUCAAGUCCUCAUGGCCUUUAUGUCCAGGGCUACACACGUACUACAAUGGGUGGCACAAAGAGUCGCAAACCCGCGAGGGGGAGCCAAUCUCAAAAAACCACUCUCAGUUCGGAUUGCAGUCUGCAACUUGACUGCAUGAAGCUGGAAUCGCUAGUAAUCGCUGAUCAGCAAGCAGCGGUGAAUACGUUCCCGGGCCUUGUACACACCGCCCGUCACAUCACGAAAGCCCGUUGUACUAGAAGCCGGUGAUUCAACCGCAAGGAGAUAGCCGUCCAAGGUAUGACUGGUGAUUGGGGUGAAGUCGGAACAAGGUA
rnacentral:rRNA from 1 species